GAUGAACGCUGGCGGCGUGCCUAAUACAUGCAAGUCGAGCGAACGGACGAGAGGCUUGCUUCUCUGAUGUUAGCGGCGGACGGGUGAGUAACACGUGGAUAACCUACCUAUAAGACUGGGAUAACUUCGGGAAACGGGGGCUAAUACCGAAUAAUAUUUUAAACCGCAUGGUUCAAAAUUAAAAGACGUUCUUGCUGUCACUUAUAGAUGAAUCCGCGCUGCAUUAGCUAGUUGGUUAGGUAACGGCUUACCAAGGCAACGAUGCAUAGCCGACCUGAGAGGGUGAUCGGCCACACUGGAACUGAGACACGGUCCAGACUCCUACGGGAGGCAGCAGUAGGGAAUCUUCCGCAAUGGGCGAAAGCCUGACGGAGCAACGCCGCGUGAGUGAUGAAGGUCUUCGGAUCGUAAAACUCUGUUAUUAGGGAAGAACAUAUGUGUAAGUAACUGUGCACAUCUUGACGGUACCUAAUCAGAAAGCCACGGCUAACUACGUG
rnacentral:rRNA from 1 species